ACUAGUAUGUCUGAAGUUGUAGGUAGUAAACUGUAAAUUUACUUAUGAAUUAAUAUUCUUCUAGUA
rnacentral:tRNA from 1 species